UACGUAGGGGGCAAGCGUUGUCCGGAUUUAUUGGGCGUAAAGGGCGUGUAGGCGGCCAGGUAGGUCCGUUGUGAAAACUCGAGGCUCAACCUCGAGACGUCGAUGGAAACCAUCUGGCUAGAGUCCGGAAGAGGAGAGUGGAAUUCCUGGUGUAGCGGUGAAAUGCGCAGAUAUCAGGAAGAACACCCGUGGCGAAGGCGGCUCUCUGGGACGGUACUGACGCUGAGACGCGAAAGCGUGGGGAGCGAACAGG
rnacentral:rRNA from 1 species